CCUGCACCUAAAGCUAUCCUUCAACACCAUUAAAUUAUACAUUACCAGGAUCUAACACCACAUACUCACCACAUGGCCUGAUAAACAACCCUUUCUGUCGUCCUAUCAGGUUAAAGUUAUAUUAAAAGGUAUAAAAGACUCCUCACCUAUAGCUACACCUUCUAGAUCACAUGUUCCAAUCAGUUUCAGAUCUCCUAGAUGCAUCACCAUUCGCCACCCAGACAAAUAACAUGAUUAAAACGGCCAUCUAUUUAGCAUUCUUUGGCUUUCUCCGACCAAGAGAAUUCACCACCACCAAUACUAACUCAGCUGACUUAGUCACCAAAGCACAGCUGGUGAAAGCACACGACCAC